rnacentral:rRNA from 1 species
GACGAACGCUGGCGGCGUGCUUAACACAUGCAAGUCGAACGGAAAGGCCCUGCUUUUGUGGGGUGCUCGAGUGGCGAACGGGUGAGUAACACGUGAGUAACCUGCCCUUGACUUUGGGAUAACUUCAGGAAACUGGGGCUAAUACCGGAUAGGAGCUCCUGCUGCAUGGUGGGGGUUGGAAAGUUUCGGCGGUUGGGGAUGGACUCGCGGCUUAUCAGCUUGUUGGUGGGGUAGCGGCUUACCAAGGCUUUGACGGGUAGCCGGCCUGAGAGGGUGAUCGGCCACACUGGAACUGAGACACGGUCCAGACUCCUACGGGCGGCAGCAGUGGGGAAUCGGGGGCAAUGGGCGGAAGCCUGAUGCAGCGACGCCGCGUGAGUGACGAAGGUCUUAGGGUUGGAAAGCUCUGUUAUGGGGGAAGAAAAGAGGGAGACUGAUACGCCGCUGGUAUGACGGUACAUAAAGAAAAAGCACCGGCUAACUACGUG